rnacentral:rRNA from 1 species
UACGUAGGUGACCAGCGUUGUCCGGAUUUACUGGGCGUAAAGAGCGCGCAGGCGGUCGUUCAAGUCGAGUGUGAAAGCCCCCGGCUCAACUGGGGAGGGUCAUUCGAUACUGAUCGACUCGAAGGCAGGAGAGGGAAGCGGAAUUCCCGUUGUAGUGGUGAAAUGCGUAGAUAUCGGGAGGAACACCAGUGGCGAAGGCGGCUUCCUGGCCUGUUCUUGACGCUGAGGCGCGAAAGCUAGGGGAGCAAACGGG